rnacentral:rRNA from 1 species
GACGAACCGUGCAAACGUUGUUCGGAAUCACUGGGCUUAAAGGGCGCGUAGGCGGAUUCACAAGUCUGUGGUGAAAUCCUCCAGCUUAACUGGAGAAGUGCCGUGGAUACUGUGAGUCUCGAGGAGGAUAGGGGCAUCUGGAACUGCCGGUGGAGCGGUGAAAUGCGUUGAUAUCGGCAGGAACUCCGGUGGCGAAGGCGAGAUGCUGGAUCCUUUCUGACGCUGAGGCGCGAAAGCCAGGGGAGCAAACGGG